AGGCAAUUAGCUCAGAGGCAGAGCAUCUCGUUUACACCGAGUUGGUCAGCGGUUCGACUCCGUUAUUGCCUAG
rnacentral:tRNA from 1 species